GGACCAGGGAAUCUCGCCCUUGCCACGAUAAUCGGAAGACCCGUCUAUUCCGCAGCAUCGAAUGCAAUCGGUUCUCGUGAAACGAAGAUGGAUUAGCAAGUAUAUAUUGUAUUAGUAACGAAAUAAAACGCGGUGUAUUUGAGACAGGAA